ACGAACGCUGGCGGCGUGCUUAACCCCUGCAAGUCGCACGGAAAGGCCCUGCUUUUGUGGGGUGCUCGAGUGGCGAACGGGUGAGUAACACGUGAGUAACCUGCCCUUGACUUUGGGAUAACUUCAGGAAACUGGGGCUAAUACCGGAUAGGAGCUCCUGCUUCAUGGUGGGGGUUGGAAAGUUUCGGCGGUUGGGGAUGGACUCGCGGCUUAUCAGCUUGUUGGUGGGGUAGUGGCUUACCAAGGCUUUGACGGGUAGCCGGCCUGAGUGGGUGACCGGCCACAUUGGGACUGAGAUACGGCCCAGACUCCUACGGGAGGCAGCAGUGGGGAAUAUUGCACAAUGGGCGGAAGCCUGAUGCAGCAACGCCGCGUGCGGGAUGACGGCCUUCGGGUUGUAAACCGCUUUCGCCUGUGACGAAGCGUGAGUGACGGUAAUGGGUAAAGAAGCACCGGCUAACUACGUG
rnacentral:rRNA from 1 species